rnacentral:rRNA from 1 species
UACAGGGGGUGCGAGCGUUAUCCGGAAUUACUGGGUUUAAAGGGUGCGUAGGCUGCCGUGUAAGUUUGGGGUGAAAGGCCAGGGCUUAACCUUGGGACUGCCUUGGAUACUGCACGGCUUGAAUUAGGAUGAGGUUGGCGGAAUGCGGCAUGUAGCGGUGAAAUGCAUAGAUAUGCCGUAGAACACCGAUUGUGAAGACAGCUGACUGGACCUUAAUUGACGCUGAGGCACGAAAGCGUGGGGAGCGAACGGG